AUUGAACGCUGGCGGCAGGCCUAACACAUGCAAGUCGAGCGGGGUUUUCGGACCUAGCGGCGGACGGGUGAGUAAUGCGUAGGAAGCUGCCCGAUAGAGGGGGAUACCAGUUGGAAACGACUGUUAAUACCGCAUAAUGUCUACGGACCAAAGUGUGGGACCUUCGGGCCACAUGCUAUCGGAUGCGCCUACGUGGGAUUAGCUAGUUGGUGAGGUAAUGGCUCACCAAGGCGACGAUCUCUAGCUGGUUUGAGAGGAUGAUCAGCCACACUGGAACUGAGACACGGUCCAGACUCCUACGGGAGGCAGCAGUGGGGAAUAUUGGACAAUGGGCGCAAGCCUGAUCCAGCCAUGCCGCGUGUCUGAAGAAGGCCUUCGGGUUGUAAAGGACUUUUGUCCGGGAGCAAAUACCCAGUGCUAAUAACGCUGGGGGCUGAGAGUACCGGAAGAAUAAGCACCGGCUAACUACGUGCCAGCAGCCGCAGUAAAAC
rnacentral:rRNA from 1 species